AUGGGAUCCAUUCCCCCUAGAUUUGGGAAUUUGACUAAGCUCACAACAUUGUACGUCCACCGUAAUAAAUUCUCAGGAUAUCUUCCUCGAGAACUAGGUUACUUGGUGAAUCUACAAAUGUUGGAUCUUAGCGCCAACAAACUCAUGGGUUCCAUCCCCGAUUCCUUUGGUGGCCUAAUUAACCUCAGUGGCCUGUAUCUAUGGGAUAACCAACUUUCCGGGCAUGUUCCUCGAGAACUAGGUUACCUCGUGAAUCUAGAAAAUUUGAAACUUAACAAGAACCAACUUUCUGGGCGUAUUCCUCGAGAACUAGGUAAUUAA
rnacentral:rRNA from 1 species